AUCAGAAGGAGGCUGGUAUGGGGCGGGGCUAAAAAUCAGGCAAAGCUGCUUCGGUAAAAAAGUAAAAUUUGAGAUGAGCAGUUUCAUAUUAAUGUUCACUGACUGCAUUAAAGCAGCAAUAACCAGAGCUCUGCUGUCCUGAUGAUGUUCACUAACAAAAAGCAGAAAGUUAAAAACAUUUUUCUUAUGUUAAUUUUUGUUCUCCAUCAACUUUCGUCCCCAGACUCUGUACCGACUCCUGCAGUGAAGAAAGUGAGUGUGAGCUCUGAGAGCUGCUUCUUACUGUGUCGGGUGGACAGAGAGACCACACUGCUGUGGUUCAAAGACGAGCAGAUGCUGAACCAGAGCAGCUCUGCGCUCUCUCUGUCUCUCACUGUGCACAAACAGGACUUCAACUCCUCUUACAGAUGUGUGGCUGCAAACCCUGCAGAGGAGAAAACUCUUCCUGUCCGUGUGAGAACCACCUGUGGAGACACAGACGACAAUGACACCAACAGCUCGACUGAACCAAGAAACUAUAACAUCCUCAUUAUAAUCUUCUGUGUCCUGUUGGUUGUGAUGAUCAUACUUGCUGCUUUCAUCAUCAAGUCAAAGUAUCUUUCCCGAAACAAAACGAAGACAAACGGACAGGCACAAGGCAGGCUCCGCAGGCACACAGGAAGAGGUCCAAUAUAGUGAAAUACAAAUAAGCAACAACAGACAGGGGGAAAAUAUACCAGAGUCCUCAACAACGAUCUAUCACACCAGCCUGACCACAGUAUACGAUAAGCUGGAGGCCCAUCGCAUGAUCACGGACAACUAUGCUGAAAAUACCUGAGACCACACGAGAAAUUCCCAACGGAGAGUUUCCAGAAAGAAAAUUUUCAGGUUAUUGUUUUUUUGACUGAAUUAGUUGCUUUCGUUUUAUUUAUAUUAUUUCAUUUAUUUUAUGAACUGCAUGUGCCUCUGUGUCAGCCUGUUAGAUUUCUGUUAUUGAGUCUCACAUUUCAGUUGAAUUCACAGCAAAGCUUUUUUUCACUUCCUGCAGCUAAAAAAAAGUCUGUGCAUGAAGGAAUUUGGGAAAUGAGUCAAUGAUUUAAAAACGACUAACACACUCAGCUCAGGUACAGCUGAACUGGUUUCAUAGUUAAAGCUGUCGACUGAAUGCAGCGAAGCAGCCAUGAUGUCCAAACAUCGGCUUUGUGUGAAAGAGAUCAACCGAGUUCCACUUUUGAGUUACACAAUUUUGUACCACAAGACGUGCAGCGAGUCAGUCUUGUUUUCUCCAUCCAGUGUUAAAAUCAUCUUCCUUGUUCAGCCCAGACUGUGCAGGCUGGUGGUGGCAUCUCACCCGGACUGUUGGCUGAUACUUUUGGUGAUUUAUGUUCAGACUGGUUCCCAAAAACAUUUCAUCCUUCAUGUUUUCUGUCUUGUUCUCCCACUCUUGGUUUUCUGUGUCUGUGUGUUUUCUUGGAAAUAUCAUAACCUCAUUUUGUAAAUAAACCUGUUCAAACCUUUCCAUUGCUCAGCAUGUGGGUCCUUCCUUCUGCCUGCAGACUAGUGUUACCUGUUGCUUGUCAGGUGAUACUCCCUCUAACCCGGAUGCUCCCAUUGGUCCAGAGCCGUCCUCUGGUUCUCAGCAGCAGUGUGGACCAACAUCACCUGGAACCUCUGUUACAAAAAUACUUUUUUGUGUAAUGAUCAGUGUUGGGAAGGUUACUUU